rnacentral:rRNA from 1 species
CAGCUGGUUGGUGGGGUAAGAGCCUACCAAGGCGACGAUCGGUAGCUGGUCUGAGAGGACGAACAGCCACACUGGGAUUGAGAACGGCCCAGACUCCUACGGGGGGCAGCAGUGAGGAAUUUUCGGCAAUGGAGGCAACUCUGACCGAGCAACGCCGCGUGCAGGAGGACGCUUUUCGGAGUGUAAACUGCUUUUCUGUGGGACGAGGAUGGACGGUACCACAGGAAGAAGCCCCGGCUAACUACGUGCCAGCAGCCGCGGUAAUACGUAGGGGGCGAGCGUUGUCCGGAGUUACUGGGCGUAAAGGGCAUGCAGGCGGUCAGGCGCGUUUUGUGUGACAGCGGAGGGCUUCACUCUCCGAGCAUGCGAAAGACGGUUUGACUUGAGGACUCGAGAGGGACACGGAAUUCCGGGUGGAGUGGUGAAAUGCGUAGAGAUCCGGAGGAACACCGAAGGCGAAGGCAGUGUCCUGGCGAGUGACUGACGCUGAGGUGCGAAAGCCAGGGGAGCGAACGGGAUUAGAUACCCCGGUAGUCCUGGCCGUAAACGAUGACCACCAGGUGUGGGAGGUAUCGACCCCUUCUGUGCCGUAGGUAACCCAUUAAGUGGUCCGCCUGGGGAGUACGU